AUUGAACGCUGGCGGCAGGCCUAACACAUGCAAGUCGAGCGGAUGAAGGGAGCUUGCUCCUGGAUUCAGCGGCGGACGGGUGAGUAAUGCCUAGGAAUCUGCCUGGUAGUGGGGGAUAACGUCCGGAAACGGGCGCUAAUACCGCAUACGUCCUGAGGGAGAAAGUGGGGGAUCUUCGGACCUCACGCUAUCAGAUGAGCCUAGGUCGGAUUAGCUAGUUGGUGGGGUAAAGGCCUACCAAGGCGACGAUCCGUAACUGGUCUGAGAGGAUGAUCAGUCACACUGGAACUGAGACACGGUCCAGACUCCUACGGGAGGCAGCAGUGGGGAAUAUUGGACAAUGGGCGAAAGCCUGAUCCAGCCAUGCCGCGUGUGUGAAGAAGGUCUUCGGAUUGUAAAGCACUUUAAGUUGGGAGGAAGGGCAGUAAGUUAAUACCUUGCUGUUUUGACGUUACCAACAGAAUAAGCACCGGCGAACUUC
rnacentral:rRNA from 1 species